CGACAAGGUUGUGUCAAUCCUUCCAUAUGGAGCUAAGAACUCAAUAAUGGUUGCUUGAAUUGAAUUGCCAAGUCAAUAUCAUCAUGGACCAGUUGCUAUUCCAAGAUUGACAUGAAUUACAGAAAUGCCACCUCUAGGUCGAGCUGUCCUUUACCUCUCCAGUUCCCCAAGGCUCAGGCAAUGGCUUCUGUUGUAAACUCACUGAAGACAAAAGUCACAUAUUAUUCAUCUAUCUGCAGAGUCCUUUUAAGAAAUAAUUCCUUAGGGCCCAUGCCUAACCGAGGGCCCCAGUCGCGUGGAACACAGGCCAAAACAGCCAGCUGCAGACAGGCAGGUGAAAUAUUUCUGAAUGAUUUUGGUUAUUUCACUCAGAGUCACAACAAGCAACUCUAGAGGGAACCAAAAGUUCAUAAAGGAGGUAAUGUUUUUCCAGUCUUA
rnacentral:lncRNA from 1 species